rnacentral:ncRNA from 2 species
AAACCUGAGGAGCGUUGCGACGAUUCCGCCGGUGUGCCCAGCGCACGGGCCGCGGUUCGCCAGGCUCAGGAAACCCUGCAUGGGCGCCGCGCACCGCGCGGCGACGCAGCAACGGCGCUCACCUUUG